UAUGCGCAUGAAGGGGGGUAAAGCCCAAUAGGUUCUGACUCUUUGUAGCAUUGCAAACAGCCUCCAACAUCUAUCUUCUUCCUCAAUCGGCGCUGUGUGAGUGAAAAUAUAAGCUGGUUACAUUUUAUGAAAAUGAGAAACGAAAACCUGGCCUGUUCCUUCCUCUUGAUCGUGAGCGAAUGGAGAAAGAUCACCAAAGAGAAAUUUGCAUGCAUCUUCUCCCUUCAUCACACCUUCCCCAAACCGUGAUCUGUACCAGAAUAAGGACCAUCAUCUAGCUUAUUCCCUCUUUUCAUCUGUUCGGCCGAAGACACAUCUAGGAGGCGAAGAAAAGUCUUUGUUGUUUUCUUGUCCCAUUAUACCACUUUCGGCUGAGGAGGAUUUCUUCUGCAUACAGAAUCAAGCUUAAGCUCACAGCCAUCCCUCCCUCCCUUGGUCCAGCCGAAACAACCAUCAGCAAGGAGCUGUGAACUUAGUCCUUUGAAGAGUAGAUAGCCUCCCUUGCAUGCAACUGAAACCGUGCUCUUAGGAGGGUCGAAGUGUAACGACUAUAGCACCAAUCUCGGAGACCACCAACUUGGCCAAUUGUGGAACUUGGACUGAUUGCAAAGAGGUGCGCAAAUUCCCUAACAGCGUGGACUAUUGUUGUGCUGUUUGAUUGAUACUUGGACUCACAAGGAGGACGAAAGAGCAUAUGAUGACGUUGUAGUUUUGGAUAUUUGUUGUUGACUGCUGCUGUUUGGCAUUUCUGCUAUUGUCUGCCUUGUCUUUUGCAUGUGGCUGAACAUGUUAUAUUGUUGUAUUAUUUUGGAAGUAUCGACUACUGUUAGAAGAGGGAUUUACUUGCUGUUUUUAAGAUUUUAUGGUCAGCUUGUACUUUGGAAAAUUCUGCUUAUGUUUUGCGAAAAACAAUUUCUGAAGGUUUUAAAUAUUGUUUUAUAAACUGGUUAGCGAGCACUUUGCGAGUUAUGUUUCGUGGGGCUACAGACCUCCGAUUCGCUUAUAAUUUAUAUGCACACGAAGCCCCACAU